rnacentral:tRNA from 1 species
UCACUGGUCGUCUAACUGGUAGGACGUGAGGUUCUGGACCUCAAAACGUUGGUUCGAUCCCAGCCCGGUGAA